CUUGACUCUACUGAUUUAUACCGCUAUGUAGUUUUGGCAAUUUCUUCGCUUUUUGCUUGCAGGUUUCUCUAUAGAGCUCCCUCUACAGCUUCAGAAUACAUAUUUU